GCCAUUGUCAUCUGGGAUUCUAACACAAGACGAAUUGAAGAAGAUUGCCGCGUAUAAGGCCGUCGAAUAUGUCGAAUCCGGCAUGGUCCUGGGCCUUGGCACCGGCUCCACCGCCAAGCACGCCGUUGAUCGAAUCGGCGAGCUAUUGCGUCAAGGGAAACUUAAGAACAUUAUAGGAAUUCCCACUUCCAAAAAAACUCAUGAGCAAGCGGUCUCGUUGGG
rnacentral:misc_RNA from 1 species